GCGACGGACACCCUCGGGAAACUGAGGCUAAUCCGUCAUACCCCUCUCAUACUGGAAUGUCGAGAGGCCAAAACGCUACGGCGCUGGAGGAUGAGGCUGCGGCCGAUUAGGUAGACGGUGGGGUAACGGCCCACCGUGCCCAUAAUCGGUACGGGUCGUGAGAGCGAGAGCCCGGAGACGGAAUCUGAGACAAGAUUCCGGGCCCUACGGGGCGCAGCAGGCGCGAAACCUUUACACUGCACGCCAGUGCGAUAAGGGGACUCCAAGUGCGAGGGCAUAUCGUCCUCGCUAUCCUGUACUGUAGGGUAGUACAGUAUCAAGAGCUGGGCAAGACCGGUGCCAGCCGCCGCGGUAAUACCGGCAGCUCAAGUGAUGGCCGAUUUUAUUGGGCCUAAAGCGUCCGUAGCUGGCCCUGAAAGUCCGUCGGGAAAUCCACUGGCUCAACCAGUGGGCGUCCGGCGGAAACUCCAGGGCUUGGGACCGGAAGGCUCGAGGGGUACGUCCGGGGUAGGAGUGAAAUCCCGUAAUCCCGAACGGACCACCGAUGGCGAAAGCACCUCGAGAAGACGGCUCCGACAGUGAGGGACGAAAGCUAGGGUCUCGAACCGGAUUAGAUACCCGGGUAGUCCUAGCCGUAAACGAUGUUCGCUAGGUGUGGCACGGGCUACGCGCCUGUGCUGUGC
rnacentral:rRNA from 1 species